rnacentral:rRNA from 1 species
UCGAGCGAGUCUGCCUUGAAGAUCGGAGUGCUUGCACUCUGUGAAACAAGAUACGGGCUAGCGGCGGACGGGUGAGUAACACGUGGGUAACCUGCCCAAGAGAUCGGGAUAACACCUGGAAACAGAUGCUAAUACCGGAUAACAACAGAUGAUGCCUAUCAACUGUUUAAAAGAUGGUUCUGCUAUCACUCUUGGAUGGACCUGCGGUGCAUUAGCUAGUUGGUAGGGUAACGGCCUACCAAGGCGAUGAUGCAUAGCCGAGUUGAGAGACUGAUCGGCCACAUUGGGACUGAGACACGGCCCAAACUCCUACGGGAGGCAGCAGUAGGGAAUCUUCCACAAUGGACGCAAGUCUGAUGGAGCAACGCCGCGUGAGUGAAGAAGGGUUUCGGCUCGUAAAGCUCUGUUGUUGGUGAAGAAGGACAGGGGUAGUAACUGACCUUUGUUUGACGGUAAUCAAUUAGAAAGUCACGGCUAACUACGUGCCAGCAGCCGCGGUAAUACGUAGGUGGCAAGCGUUGUCCGGAUUUAUUGGGCGUAAAGCGAGUGCAGGCGGCUCGAUAAGUCUGAUGUGAAAGCCUUCGGCUCAACCGGAGAAUUGCAUCAGAAACUGUCGAGCUUGAGUACAGAAGAGGAGAGUGGAACUCCAUGUGUAGCGGUGAAAUGCGUAGAUAUAUGGAAGAACACCGGUGGCGAAGGCGGCUCUCUNNNCUGUUACUGACGCUGAGGCUCGAAAGCAUGGGU